AUUGAACGCUGGCGGCAGGCCUAACACAUGCAAGUCGAGCGAGCGGCGGACGGGUGAGUAAUGUCUGGGAAACUGCCUGAUGGAGGGGGCUAACUACUGGAAACGGUAGCUAAUACCGCAUACCAUCAGAUGUGCCCCGAUGGGAUUGGCUAGUGGGUGGGGUAAUGGCUCACCUGGGCGACGAUCCCUAGCUGGUCUGAGAGGAUGACCAGCCAACUUGGAACUGGGAAACGGUCCAGACUCCUACGGGAGGCAGCAGUGGGGAAUAUUGCAAAAGGGGGGCAAGCCUGAGGCAGCCAUGCCGCGUGUAUGAAGAAGGCCUUCGGGUUGUAAAGUACUUUCAGCGGGGAGGCGUUACCCGCAGAAGAAGCACCGGCUAACUCCGUGCCAGCAGCCGCGGUAAUUC
rnacentral:rRNA from 1 species